rnacentral:ribozyme from 1 species
UCAUUUAUAGAGAGCAAAAACAUCGCACGUAAAUAAAAUGGCGUGGGGUAACGCUCGCUCGCGAACGAACGCGUCUUCUUCGUCAUCAUCUUCUCAGUUUCGCG